GACAGAGGGUGCAAACGUUGUUCGGAAUUACUGGGCGUAAAGCGCGUGUAGGCGGCCCUGCAAGUCGGGUGUGAAAUCCCACGGCUCAACCGUGGAAGUGCACUCGAAACUGCAAGGCUAGAGUCCUGGAGAGGAAGGUGGAAUGCUUGGUGUAGAGGUGAAAUUCGUAGAUAUCAAGCGGAACACCGGUGGCGAAGGCGACCUUCUGGACAGUGACUGACGCUGAGACGCGAAAGCGUGGGGAGCAAACGGG
rnacentral:rRNA from 1 species